ensembl:snRNA U6 U6 spliceosomal RNA
GUGCUUGCUUUGGCAGCACAUAUGGUAAAAUUGGAACUAAUACAGAGAAGAUUAGCAUGGCUCCUGUGCAAGGAUGACACGCAAAUUCAUGAAGCGGUCCAUAUUUAA